rnacentral:rRNA from 1 species
UACGGAAGGUCCGGGCGUUAUCCGGAUUUAUUGGGUUUAAAGGGAGCGCAGGCCGAAGAUUAAGCGUGACGUGAAAUGCCGCGGCUCAACCGUGGAAGUGCAGCGCGAACUGGUCGUCUUGAGUGCGUACGACGUAGGCGGAAUUCGUGGUGUAGCGGUGAAAUGCUUAGAUAUCACGAAGAACCCCGAUUGCGAAGGCAGCCUACGAGGCCGCAACUGACGCUAAAGCUCGAAGGUGCGGGUAUCGAAC